rnacentral:lncRNA from 1 species
GGAACCGAUUCGGAGAAAGAAGAAGCAUGGCAUGAGAUAGGCGGCGGAUCAAUUUCCGAUAGCGAAUUACUUGACUCGAUGGAUGGAGGGAGAGCCCUCCAACUCAAGCACGAAAUCAAUGUUGAGUCAACAAUCAUCGAGAGGGGUACCACCAAGCGAGAUCGAGACCAGCCCCUUGUAUAGGUAUAGGGUGGAAAACCUGCGCUUCUUCAAAUAUCCCAUAAAUCUAAAUAAAGUAGGGACUUCAAAGCUUGACUAACAAGCGAGAAAGUUGACUUUGAGAAAGAAAAGGGGCGCCCUAGCUGCAAUCAAAAAACAGCGC